UCUCCCCGCUGCUCUCCGUCUGUCUCGCUGCCGCUCCUGAGGAGCGGGAACCGGAGCCGGAGCGGGAACCGGAGGCAGCGAGCCGGGGAAUGCCGGCCCGAGCGCAGCCGUGCGCGGACAGCGCGCCCGGGAUGCCUCCUGCGCCCACAGGCCCUGAGGCUCCAGUGCCCACAGGUGGAGAGGGCAACUGAAUCCAGCUCAGGCUAAGCCCCACCCAGCUGUACUUCCCAGAUACCCACCCAACCCUAGAAUGGGACAACAGAAGAAGUGACUUCAAAAGAAAAGGAAGAAGAGAUGGCUGAAAUUAUAAAUAUCAUUUCUUAAAACUGGACAGAAAUGGAAAUGUUUACUAGCCUUAUUUUGUGAAACUCAAAUGCAAUCAAGUUCCAAAAGAUGUAGGACGCAAGAUAGGAUGAGUUUGCUUGUUUUUUGGAUUUGAAGAAAUUAUUUUUGUAGGUCCAUCGGAAUUUUUUUGUCAUCUUCCUGAUAGAGUGAACAUUUACAUGAUUUUUAUCUUCUGGCAAAAAGCUUGAACAAUAUUGCCUGGGUUGACCCUGACAGUGCUUUGCACAGUGAUCUUCAGAUUGUAAAAGAAAAAGAAGGGAUAGGAGACAUUUUGCUCAACUUAUCUUUUAAGAAACUGUUGUGGUUGUCAACUGGAUUGUCUUCCUAAAGUAUGAAUCCGGUAUAUAUUGAUUGAAGUUGUUAAUGGCUACUUCUUUACGGAUUCAUAUGGGGGAACGAAUGAAGCACCCAGGCCUACAACAAAAAACAAAACACAAAAAAAACAGGAAGGUAUGUAUUGGGUGGAGGAGCAUUAUAUAUGGAACUUCUCACAAAACAGGGCUGAAGCAGUGCCUACUCAAUAGAAUCAGUCAUCAUGCAAAUAAAUGCCACCUGAGUCAAAGGCAAAGCCAGUGUGCAGCUUGGAGCAAAGAAGUUACUUUUAUUAAGAAUUUUAUAAUAUAUGCACCCAAUACAGGAGCACCCAGAUUCAUAAAGCAAGUCCUUAGAGACUUACAAAGAGACUUAGACUCCCAUACAAUAAUAAUGGGAGACUUC